AGCAGCCGCGGUAAUUCCAGCUCCAAUAGCGUAUAUUAAAGUUGUUGCAGUUAAAAAGCUCGUAGUUGAAUUUCGGGGUUAGCAGGUUGGUCGUGCCAAUGGUAUGCACUGGCCUUGCUGAUUCCUCCCUCUUGUAGAACCGUAAUGCCAUUAAGUUGGUGUUGCGGGGAAACAGGACUGUUACUUUGAAAAAUUAGAGUGUUUAAAGCAGGCUAACGCUUGAAUACAUUAGCAUGGAAUAAUGAAAUAGGACGAUCGAUCCUAUUUUGUUGGUUUCUAGGAUUGACGUAAUGAUUAAUAGGGAUAGUUGGGGGCAUUAGUAUUCAAUUGUCAGAGGUGAAAUUCUUGGAUUUAUUGAAGACUAACUACUGCGAAAGCAUUUGCCAAGGAUGUUUUCAUUAAUCAAGAACGAAAGUUAGGGGAUCGAAGACGAUCAGAUACCGUCGUAGU
rnacentral:rRNA from 1 species